rfam:Lucilia cuprina strain LS Scaffold353, whole genome shotgun sequence.
UUAUUUGAAGACCGUGGCUUGUUGCAAUUAUGUUUUAUUUUUAAAAUUUAUUUUUAUCAUAUUGCACAAUCCCCGGCCUGUAAAUAA